AAUAUCCUUCGGGGUCGGGUGAAAUUCCCAAUCGACGGUGAUGAAGUAAAACUUCUAAGCCCGUGAGCUUGAUAAGAGCAGGAUUUGGUGUGAGUCCAAAGCCGACAGUAUAGUCUGGAUGGGAGAAGGAUGUA
rfam:Viridibacillus arenosi FSL R5-213 Contig013, whole genome shotgun sequence.